AUGGGACUCGCUCUCGCGCUCUCCUUUCUCCUCUGCAGCUGUCUCCAUGGCGUGAGCUCCGGCUCGCCGUACUUCACCUCAUUGUUCACCCUUGGAGACUCCUACAUCGAUGCCGGCAACUUUGUGGUCAUGGCUCCUCCGGCGGUGCCCGUGUGGCAUGAGAGGCCUCCUUACGGCAUGACCUUCUUUGGGCGCCCCACGGGCCGCCUCAGCGACGGGCGAGUCACCGUCGAUUUCAUCGCCGAGCAGUUUGGUCUCCCACUUCUUCGAGCCUCCCUGCUAAACAGCUCAGACGACGUCUCCAAGGGCGUCAAUUUCGCCGUCGGAGGCGCGACGGCGAUCGACGUCGACUUCUAUGAGAGGAGCAAACUGGUCCAGUUCAAGCUGAUAAACAAUUCUCUGAACGUGCAGCUGGGCUGGUUCGAGGAACUCAAGCCAACGAUUUGCAACAAGACCGUAAGACAAGGUGAAUGCUUCAGUAAAGCCCUCUUCUUCGUUGGGGAGUUUGGAGUGAAUGACUACAACUUCCUGUGGAAUGCCGGGAAGACUGAAGACGAAGUGAGAUCCUAUGUACCUAAAGUUGUGAAAAAUAUUGCCGUGGCCGUGGAGAGGCUCAUCAAAGAAGGUGCAGUUUAUGUGGUCGUGCCGGGGAAUCCACCGAACGGGUGCUCACCCACCAUGCUGACGACCCGCUCGAGCUUCAACAAGAUGAUGAUGUACGACCGCAUCGGCUGCCUAAGCGACAUCAACGGCGUGGCCAAGUACCACAACUCCAUGCUCCGCGCGGCGAUUGGCGCUCUCAGGGGCAAGUACUCGCAUGUCGUGAUCAUCUACGCCGACUUCUACGGCCCGAUCAUCACGAUCCUCGAAAACCCCAGCCGAUUCGGAGUGGCCGGCGGCGACGCUCUACAGGCUUGCUGCGGAGGCGGCGGGGCAUACAACUGGAAUGCCAGCGCUGUCUGCGGCAUGCCGGGGGUGACUGCCUGGAAGGAUCCCUCGGUGUUCGUGAACUGGGAUGGGAUUCACUACACGGAGGCUACAUACCGCUUCAUCGCCGAAGGGUGGCUCCACGGUCCUUUUGCCGAUCCACCAAUACUAAGUGCACUUCGCUACUAG
rnacentral:rRNA from 1 species